GUUUAGAUAGCUCAGUCGGUAGAGCAAAGGACUGAAAAUCCUUGUGUCGGCAGUUCGAACCUGCCUCUAGACA
rnacentral:tRNA from 1 species